rnacentral:rRNA from 1 species
CGGCAGGCCUAACACAUGCAAGUCGAACGGUAGCACAGGAGAGCUUGCUCUCUGGGUGACGAGUGGCGGACGGGUGAGUAAUGCAUGGGGAGCUGCCCAAUCGAGGGGGAUACCAGCUGGAAACGGCUGCUAAUACCGCAUACGCCCUGAGGGGGAAAGGUGGGGGACCUUCGGGCCUACCGCGAUUGGAUGCACCCAUGUGGGAUUAGCUAGUUGGUGAGGUAACGGCUCACCAAGGCGACGAUCUCUAGCUGGUCUGAGAGGAUGACCAGCCACACUGGAACUGAGACACGGUCCAGACUCCUACGGGAGGCAGCAGUGGGGAAUAUUGCACAAUGGGGGAAACCCUGAUGCAGCCAUGCCGCGUGUGUGAAGAAGGCCUUCGGGUUGUAAAGCACUUUCAGCGAGGAGGAAAGGUUGAUGCCUAAUACGCAUCAGCUGUGACGUUACUCGCAGAAGAAGCACCGGCUAACUCCGUG